GAAGUAUCACUUCCUUGCAUCUUUAGCACUCUGUGUUCCUCCGUCUGUGACAUUUCCUUCUGUGAGCAAAGCAACAGAAGCCUGACGUUUAAUCUAAUAUUACAAACCAGUAUCUCACUUAACCUCUCAAUCAGAUCCAUUAGUUAGUGCAGGCAUAAACCACAAAAGGGCAGAAAGGAGACAAGAUGGAUGCUGAUAAUACAUUAUCCAGAGAUCCAGAGAUAGUUGUUCAAAUUGUGUCCCCUAAUUAUGUAAAAACCCCAAAAAUCCACUAAGUUGUUUCUUGAAAAGACGUGUCUCUGUAAAAUCCCAAACUUUUUUGUUACUCUAUUGGAUACAUAAAUCACAAUAUGAUACAUAAAAUAGGAGAAAUGAUAGGAUACAACAGGAUAAUUGUUUUUUCAUGUUGAGCUCAUCAUCAGCAAUUACAAACAACAUUUGUAGGAAACAUUUUCAAGUGCAUCAUUAGCCAUGACAGCUGGCUUGAAGAUCAUAUAGUUUCUUUGUUUAAUUUUGAGAUAAUUCACUAUUAUCAAUCAACACUAUCAAAAACACUAUUACAGAGUUCCUACGCAAGUAUGGAAAGUGUGGAAAAGUAUGACAGUAAUUUGAUCAAUUUCUAGGUCUCAAAAAGUAUGGUAAAUAAAAAGUAAGGUAAGGAAAAAUAUUCAUGUUAACAGACUGUAUUACCACAGUUAUAAAAAACAGUUUUCUAACAUAGCAAAUUAGGUAUUUCCAAAAAAUAAUUCUAAAAAGUAGGGAAUGGAAAAGUAUGGAAAUUCCAACUGUGUAGGAACCCUGGUUAAAGCAGGCUAUCAGCUUGUGUUCAUAUUAAUCUGUAAUAAAAAUAUUUGUAUUUUUGGCAUAAAGAAGGAGCUUACUUUAAUGUUACUUGCUAGUCAUUAUUUACUAAGAAUUUAAAAGGAUCUAGUAACAAGCCCUGUGGAACACCUGUGUGUUUUUGCAAUAGAUUUCCCAGUUGGUAAACUGCUAUCAAAAAUCAGAUUAGUUGACAAAUACAACACAGCAUGAUUAUUUAACCGAGCUAUACACAAGAUCACAGGGUCUGCGAGUCAAAAAUGUCAUAUUGGUUAGUGAGUGUUGCUAAUGUUGGAAAUGCUAGCAUCACAAGCCUUCAGUUUACCCUGACCAGAUGCUUGUGCUGGUUUGGUGGUUUUGUGUCAGUUUAAUCUGACACUGCCUAAAAUUAUUACUAAACAAUGCACUGUAAAAUCCUGUGUGUCCAUUGUGUUGGGUCCAUAUCUGGGUUUUAAGGUGCUAAAGCAGUAUGGGGGGUAGCUGUUAGCUAUAGUAACAGCUCUGCUUAGUGGAGGGCGACCAAGUUACAGCCAACUACUGAAUGGGACACACUUCGUUAUUCUGUUGACUUAACGCAAACAUCCCCAGAAAUAAGGAAAAACAGUGACGUGUUGGUGUUGUUGAUGUUUGUGUAUGUUGUUCUGCAGAAGCUAAAAGUGCUGUUCGCAGUGGGCAGCGAUGGGGAGGUCAGCGAGCCUCUGGAGGUCAGCGCGCUCAGCUGUGACUCAGUAGAACAAGUCAAAGAGAAAAUCCUGUCCACCUUCAAGGCCAAGUUUGGGUUCCCCUACAACACUCUGCUCAGGGAUGUUUGUAUCGGUGAGGAUCAUCUGCCUGUUGUUGUUGUUGUCCCUCGUGGUUGUGCUGACAGUAUUUUGGUUGUGUUGUCUUCUUCCACUGUGGUCUUCUCUCUUAUGCUGUCUGUGUAUGGCUGUGUUGUCAGUAUACAAGUUUGGUUUCUGUAUCUGCAUUUAGCAUCUGUGGUUGGUUGUGUUUGCAGCAUUUGUGUUGCUCGGUUGUGUCAAGUGUUUCGUCUUGUCAGCCUGCUUGUUCUGUCCUUAUUUGAUUAUGUUGUCCGUGUGGUUGUUUUGUCUGAAUUGAAUAUCAGUGUGUUAUUGUAUUUCAUCAUUUUAUUGGAUUUAGCUACAUCAUCUGUGAUUGGUUUCCUUUUUAUUUUGCGUGUGUGUAUUUGGCACUUUUUUCCUGUGAGUGUUCUGUCUGCAUCGAGUUGGGUUGUCUGGUUUGGUUAUGCUUCCUGUGUUCGGUUGUGUUGUCCAAACUGGUUCUGUGUUGUCUGUAUGACUUGUAUUGGUUGUGCUGUACUAAAUUGGGUUUUCUGUGUUGGUUAUGUUGUCUGUGUAGAAGUUUGUGGUUCCCAGAGUGAGUGGAUACGCCUCCCCUGGGGGUUGUGGAGACACAUCAGGCAGGGGUAACAUAUAAUGGGGAACUAUUGACUUGUAACUAGCGAUGGGGAUCGUUCAUUUUUAUCGAUACUGAUGCUAAAGAUCUCCAUUCUUAUCGAUACUACUAUAGAGGUUUCUUUCAAACUUUUGUAUUUAUGGCGAUUUCUCACAAAAAUGUUCUUUUUCUUUUUCUGGACGUGACAUUUGAACAAAUCAUGUUUACAUUUAAACUUUUGCCGACCCAACCCUGAACACCUCACAAUAUAGUCAUCUGUCACCUCAAUUAGUUAGCUAGUUAGCUUUUGUCCUGCUGAUUUUAACACUGGAUUGGGAUUUCUAACCAACGGCACUUGCUCUAAAAUCUGUCUGCGCUGAUGUGUUCAGUCAUGGAGGUUUUAUUCUCCUUGUAUUUUGCAUAAUAAAUAGCAUUUUGCUUCAUCCCUAUCAUCAGCAAGCCAAACAGUGAGAAACAUUACACCAAGGUCACACCAGUGAGCUGCUAGAGUUUGUUUACACUCACUGCUUCAUACUAAUUUCUCAUAAAGUGGCCAUAUUCAUAAAACCUCCUGGUCUUAAGAGUAACUCCUCGUGGCAAAUUUGGAUAUUUUUUGCAAGUUGAGUCCAAAACUUUUUAAAAAUGAAUAAUUACUCAGAAAGUAGUUUAGCUCUUAGUCAAGCUCCAGGUGUGAAAAGUGUAAGUGGGAGUAAGGAGGACUUCUAAGAGGCUGCAGUGUCUCAAGCUCGCGACGUUGCACCGACAUCUACAAGCCGAGGCACGAUCACCAAAGUGUAGAGGUGUCAAGAGGGUGUGUAUGUGUUUGACAGCAACAGGCUGCACAUAAGGUUCAUAUUUUGGUAACAUUAACUUGACACCUAUCUCUAUAACGCAUUAUUAAUAUAUGUAUAAUGCAUUACAAUCACGUUAUAGCACUGUAUAACUAUAGUUAUAAACACUCAUAAAUGAUCAUAAUGCAUCAUAAUACAUUAUAAAGCAUUAUUUCAUGACUUACAAGGUCAGGUAGUAUAAUGUGUUAUAACUGUUAACAACUCACUGACAAUGCCUACAUGGAUAAUACAUUAUACAUAUAUUAAUGAUGUGCUAUAAUUUGCUUAUAAACUUGUAUAACUAUCAUUAAAAACACUCACUAAUUAUCAUAAGGCUUUAUAACAAUAAGCAUAACACAUCAUAAUACCUGACCUUGUAAAUCAUGAUAAAAUGCUUUAUAAUGUGUUAUGAUUACUGCUAUAAAGCAUUAUGAUCAAUUAUGAGUGUUUAUAACUAUAUUUAUAUAGUGCUAUAAUGUGAUUAUAACGCAUUGUACAAAUUGUUAACCGUAUUUUUUAUCCUCAAAAAGGGGGUACGAUGGGAGGAAAAGUUUGGGAACCACUGCUGUUCUGUUUGUUGUGUUGUUUGUAUUUAGCUCUGUUAUCCGUGCUGUUUGUAUCGUGUUUGUUGUUUGUCCACUUUUUUCUCCUUUCAUCACGCUCUUUACCGCGCCUUACUCUCUUUUUUUCCCACCAGAGUUUGAGAAGGACGGAUCAUUUGUUCCCCUUGAGGAAGUGGAUUCAAGCUCAGAGGUUAUCGGGCAAGUGAUGAUGCUCAACACCCUCAAGCAUUACAAGGUUAGCAAACCGAGCUGAUAGAGAAGGCUGUGUUUGUGGUGAUGAGUUGACAGCUACUUACUCAAAUACUCUCAUGUGAAAACUCGAAAAGCUGUCUGUGGCGUGACAGCCACCUGUCCUCUGAAAUAAUGAUACUGCUGAGGUGAAACCAACAGAGACGCUUGUAUCAAACCAACAACACGUGGACAGGACUCCCUCUUGUUUUCAGUUUUGUUGUUGCUGUCUCCACCCAAGGACAAAAAACUGUUAAAAACUACUUUUUGAAAACAUGACACGAAUUAGCAAACAAGCUGGCACCAACUCCUGCAAGUAAAACUGAUUGCAAGAAUUUUUGUACACUUCUUCAAAUGAGAUAUUAUCAAUAACUGUGAAAUCACCCACCAUCUUAUUUUGACGCACCAUUUCCUGCAGGCAACAGCAGACUUAAAUUUAGAGCAUUUAGGCACGUGUCAUUGACAGCGGAUGCAAAGUUUUAUUAAUCUGCAUGAGAGUGAAAAUGAUUGUUUGGAAAUGUCAUAAAUUGGAGGGUUUAUAGGUGUGUCUUACUUUCAUGAGAGUCAAGAAAAGAGUAAAAGAGAUUCAAGGACAUGAUGUGUGUGAUAAACAAUGAAAUGUCAUUUUUCUUCAUGCGUUGUUUUUUAUUAAUACAUUUUUUUAGGUCCUUGAUGGAGCGACGAUCAAGGUGCUGUCAAAGAAAUUUCAUCCUCCUCUGAGCCCACAGGGAAGUGUGAAGGGUGAGAGCCAAGUUUAUUUACACAUGUACCUUUUAGCUCCAACAAAAAGUAUCAGAUGAGAAGAUCAACACCACUGGCAUGUUUGUGCAUUUGAGAGAGCAACAGAGUCAGAAGGGCGUUGGCAAGUGGCAGUAUGUCCGUUAGCACUCCUCCAAACUUUAAUGCACAUUUUGAAUCAUAUUUUGUUGUAUUCCUUUAUGAAAAUAGUUGGUUUUUACUGGAGUUCAUCAAUCCUUUAAGUUAUCUUAGCUUACUAGCUUCGAGUAAGAAUUAUGUACCUGUAAUGGGCCUCAGCAGCUUGUCCACAGAUUUUAAAACAGACUGAAAAUUGGGGUUUGCUUUUUUUUCCUUUGUUUUAAUCAAUCUGGGAGAAUAAACCCCAAUUUAUGAUACUCUGAGUUUUUUUCAGAGCUUUCAACCACUUUUAUUUUAGCCAACAAAACCGACUAGAAUUGUUUACAGAUUUUCGAAACUAGUAAUGAGAUUAGACGGAUGACUCAGAGAGCUGUAAGAUGUGGCUGAGAGUACAGGAAUCAGUGGUGAGGUGUAUGAUGUCUCAUGUGGUGACAUUUUCAUUAUUUGAAAACAAUAAAAAUUGAAAUUAAAAGAUUUGAUUUGAUCCUGACUCAACAUCUCUCACUAAUAUGAUGAGUUACUUGCUUGGAACGUGUGCCAAUGACUGUUCAAAUGGUCUCAUGCCGUUAAUUAUGUACUUUUGUAAAAUAAAUAGAUUUAUUUAGUUUCAUAGGUCUCUAGUUUUGCCUUGUGAACUUAUACAUAUUGGAAUAAAUAUACAUAUGUAUUCCAGGCUGCAUCUGCCUUUAAUUGUUACUUACCAAACCAACAUGCUUCAUGACAGGUGAAAGCUUUUCAACUCCAUGACGGUGACUGUUUUUCUCUUUUUCUCCCUGCAGACGAUGAAAACUUCUCUGUGAAAUACUUCCACCUGGUAAGAGACAAAUUGAGAUUUAGAUUUGCAUCGAUUUAAUGAUUAAAAGCUCAAACAGAAAUUGGUGACAGGGCUUUUGGGUAGUCUGCGCCCUUAGUCUGGAAGUCAAAAUGAAAGACGUCGAAGAUUUUUCAGGAUGGUGUUUUCUGGUCUUUGCCAGAUCUGCCCUGAAAAGGUUAUUUUUAAUCUCAAUUAGACCAACCUGGUUAAAUUAAUCAUUUAUUUGUAUUUUCUUUUCAUUUUUAGAUUGAUCCUGAUGUAGAAGAGGACGAGAACAAGAGCCCAGAGAGGAAGAAGUUAAAACUAAAGGAAGUGCACCUCACCAAGCUGCUCUCCACUAAGGCAAGAGGAAGCAGUCACAGUCAUUUCACCCAGAAGUGCACCAACACUAACAGAGGCUCUCUUUAGUGUUUAUUUCGACUGUGUGCAGCAGCUUUUGUUGCAUUUCUAGUGUAUUUUGUUUUGCUUUAGACUGAGCAGAUUUUAAAACUUUUAACCCCCUGUAUACACGAUAAGUUUGAACUUCACUAACAUGAUGUUUUUUAGUUUGCUACACCCAUUUUUUUUCCCCAUGUACUGCACUUUAGACCCUUUAUCCGAGGCUGUUAGUACAUUUGGCGCCACCUUGUGGUAUUAACACCACCGUACACUCACCGGUAUCAAAAUAAAUGGCAGCUAUUUCAGCCAAAUCCUUUGAAAGCUUUUUCCCAGAUAAAGAUUAACUUUUAAAAAUACAGCGAGGGCUACGACAGCAGCCAUCAAACAUGGUCUAAUCUCAUCCUUUCUCUUGAAGGUGGCCGUUCAUUCAUAUGUGGAGAACCUGUUCAGAUCUAUCUGGGGGAUGCCGCACUGUCGAGCCCCACAUGCUGUCAAAUAUUUCUUUGACUUCCUGGACACUCAGGCAGAGAACUUGAAGAUCACAGACCCUGAUGUGCUGCACAUCUGGAAGACCAACAGGUACUGCUGAGUCAUCAGAACCACAUCUGUUAAUAGGAAGAGGAAUAAAAAUCCUAACAUGUGUUUUCUUACCUUGUCCUUUUACAGUUUGCCUCUGCGCUUCUGGAUCAACAUCCUCAAAAACCCUCAGUUUGUUUUCGACAUGGAGAAGACCCCGCAUCUGGACGGCUGCCUGUCAGUCAUCGCUCAGGCCUUCAUGGACUCUUUCUCUCUGAGUGAACUCCAGCUGGGGAAGGUCGGAGCACAACAAAUGUCUCAAAGCAAAAACAAGAGCUCCCAUAUUGGGUUUAUAAAUUUAAAUCACAAUAAAAAGAAAGAAAAGUUAACACCAACAUCUCUGAUUUUGAUGUCCUCUAGCAUGCUCCCACCAACAAACUCCUCUACGCCAAAGACAUCCCCAAGUUCAAACAGGAAGUAAAGGUGUACUACAAGCAGAUCAGAGAUCAGCCACCAAUCACUGACCCAGGAUUUAAGGACUUCCUGCAGGAGGAGUCAAAGGUACAGAUCAUUUCAACCCAAAGUACUCAAAAUGAAAUAGUCACUGUUAUAUAAAAGAUAGAUUUGAGUUUUUUUUUUCAUUUCAGAAACAUGAAAACGAGUUCAAUGAAGCUGCAGCACUGAGGGAGCUCUUCAAAUUUGUCCUGAGAUACUUCACAGAGGUCAGUUUUUCGAGAAGGGGGAAAUAUGGCGGGGAUUGUAUGUUUCAAGCUUCUCCACCUGUCUAGCUACUAAACAUGAUCACAUGAUGACACAGUCAGAAGUGACUUCACUUGUGAAACUAGUGUUCGUGCUUGUGUGUGUGUGUGUAGGGGAAAUGACUGUCAGGGCUUUAAGAUUUCGCUUUGCUUCAUCUGGGCUGUUGUUUCCUGUUUAAGUGCACUGACUGACCCUAUUUCUGAACAUGCCACCGCAAAAGCAACCGUCAUGAGCAGUUCAGAGAGACUUGGAGUUUUCAGUUUUUAAAAGCAGUUGUCAAUUUCCUUUAAGAGAAAUUUUCAAACCUAAAAUUAAACAGAAUCAGGGCCCAAAAUAUGGAAACCGUUCUGGAUGUUUACUUUGGUCAGAGGUACAAAAAAGUAGGGGUGGGAAUCACUAGUGGUCCCAAGGCACUAGUGGUUUCCCCGCUCGCUUCUCUAGUUAUACCAACUUUAUUAACGACUGCACGGUAGCAAAAUACAGAGGUCUACCUCUCCAUGUGCAAACCUCAACCAAAACUCCACUCUAUAGCCACAAAUGAUGCUCAGAACAGCACCUAACUUCAUCAACAGAUGCAUGAUUUCUUUAGCAAAGAGACUAAACACAACUCACCUACUCUCUUCCAGCAGCCACUAUUUUGUAGGGAGACAGUCCAUUACCGACUGCAGUGGGGUGACGCAGCUCAAGGAAGAACAUUUAUGAUCACUACUUCAUGGAAAUGCAAUCAGACCGAAACGUUUAGGCAGGAGAGCUACCACGUCUGCAGUGCAAAACGUUUAAUAUGAUGAUUAUUACUUCAUGGAAAUGAUUAAGUAAAGUAAAGCUGUGUAUUGCUAUCCUGCGGUCGUUACUAAAGUUGGUAUAACUAGAGAAGCAAGCGGUCAGCAACUUUCAUCUCUCGACGGAGUGUCUAACUCAGUGUUACGGUUUGUUUGACCCUAACUUAAUUUUACGCCAGAAUAUCCCUUUGACGUUUUUAAAAAUAACCGGGUAUGUAUAAACAGGGUCUGAAACUUCCAGGGCUCUGGUUUAGCUCCACAGAGCAAGUGCUACAUGUACAGAAGCUAAUCCCCAUCACAUGAGCAGCAAGAUUGAUGACAGGCCCCAACAUUUUUUGAUGCAUGUCACCUCCCACUGCUUACUCUCACUUCCUGACUUUCUUCACCUAAUUUUCACUCUCCAUCAAAGGUACACCCCAAAUAAACCCUCAUCCGGGUAGAAUUUUGAUUAUAUUCUACGUAAAGAAAGCGAUUUGUGUUCAAACUGCUUAUCCGAAUAUCCAUCUUCCUGCAGAUUAAAGAGAAGUUGGACCAAAACGGAGCCCCUGCUGAGCUGAAAGAGCAGCUACAUGAAGUUAAAAACUCAUUUGGUGGAGUAAAAAGCUGCUCCUGGAACUGAGCAGAUGCAUGAACUAUGUAAGACACAGAGGGAGGAAAACUGUUACCGUAGAGCCAUCGGGAGAGGACUGAGGAGACUUCUGCACAGCUUGCAACACGUCCUGCAGAAGUGGAAAUGAAGGAACUAAAGAUGAGCAGCGAACCAUGUCGGGAACUGUGUGUCUUCAAAACUCUGGGUUUUCUGCUCGAACAUGACAAAAGUCUUCUGCAGUUCUUGGCAUUAAAACGGUCAUCCUUGAGAGGCACAUUUCAACUGAACUGAAGGGAUGAAUGUCUGGUUUCUGUUCUGUAGCUUCACUGUGGAAAAAAAACUCAGAAUCCCAAACAGAGACCAACCACGGAGAAAAGAUUUAUCUGUACAUUAUUUUUUUCAAAACAAUUCAAAUACAACAAGUUUGAAUCAACCAUGUGCAAUUUGUAUCGACUCAUAUGUAUUUUUUUCCCUGAGUGCUUGGAGGGAAAAUCUGUAAACAAACAUGUCAAUACAAAAAUCAAACCCUGAGGGACUUUUUAAAAAA
rnacentral:lncRNA from 1 species